GACGAACGCUGGCGGCGUGCCUAAUACAUGCAAGUCGAGCGCAGGAAACUGACGGAACUCUUCGGAGGGAAGGCAGUGGAAUGAGCGGCGGACGGGUGAGUAACACGUAAGGAACCUGCCUCAAGGAUUGGGAUAACUCCGAGAAAUCGGAGCUAAUACCGGAUAGUUCAACGGACCGCAUGGUCCGCUGAUGAAAGGCGCUCCGGCGUCACCUUGAGAUGGCCUUGCGGUGCAUUAGCUAGUUGGUGGGGUAACGGCCCACCAAGGCGACGAUGCAUAGCCGACCUGAGAGGGUGAGCGGCCACACUGGGACUGAGACACGGCCCAGACUCCUACGUGAGGCAGCAGUAGGGAACCUUCCACAAUGGACGAAAGUCUGAUGGAGCAACGCCGCGUGAGUGAUGAAGGUUUUCGGAUCGUAAAACUCUGUUGUAAGGGAAGAACACGUACGAGAGGGAAUGCUCGUACCUUGACGGUACCUUACGAGAAAGCCACGGCUAACUACGUGCCAGCCGCCGCAGUAAAAC
rnacentral:rRNA from 1 species